rnacentral:rRNA from 1 species
GAUGAACGCUGGCGGCGUGCCUAAUACAUGCAAGUCGAGCGAACGGACGAGAAGCUUGCUUCUCUGAUGUUAGCGGCGGACGGGUGAGUAACACGUGGAUAACCUACCUAUAAGACUGGGAUAACUUCGGGAAACCGGAGCUAAUACCGGAUAAUAUUUUGAACCGCAUGGUUCAAAAGUGAAAGACGGUCUUGCUGUCACUUAUAGAUGGAUCCGCGCUGCAUUAGCUAGUUGGUAAGGUAACGGCUUACCAAGGCAACGAUGCAUAGCCUACCUGAGAGGGUGAUCGGCCACACUGGAACUGGGACACGGUCCAGACUCCUACGGGAGGCAGCAGUAGGGAAUCUUCCGCAAUGGGCGAAAGCCUGACGGAGCAACGCCGCGUGAGUGAUGAAGGUCUUCGGAUCGUAAAACUCUGUUAUUAGGGAAGAACAUAUGUGUAAGUAACUGUGCACAUCUUGACGGUACCUAAUCAGAAAGCCACGGCUAACUACGUG